GCUGGCGGCGUGCCUAACACAUGCAAGUCGAACGAGAAAGUGGAGCAAUCCAUGAGUAAAGUGGCGACCGGGUGAGUAACACGUGACUAACCUACCCUCGAGUGGGGAAUAACUCCGGGAAACCGGGGCUAAUACCGCAUAACAUCGCAAGAUCAAAGCAGCAAUGCGCUUGAGGAGGGGGUCGCGGCUGAUUAGCUAGUUGGCGGGGUAACGGCCCACCAAGGCGAAGAUCGGUAUCCGGCCUGAGAGGGCGCACGGACACACUGGAACUGAAACACGGUCCAGACUCCUACGGGAGGCAGCAGUGGGGAAUUUUGCGCAAUGGGGGAAACCCUGACGCAGCAACGCCGCGUGGAGGAUGAAGCCCUUUGGGGCGUAAACUCCUUUCGACUCGGACGAUAAUGACGGUACGAGUGGAAGAAGCACCGGCUAACUCUGUGCCAGCAGCCGCGGUAAUACAGAGGGUGCGAGCGUUGUUCGGAAUUAUUGGGCGUAAAGGGCGCGUAAGCGGUGCGGUAAGUCACCUGUGA
rnacentral:rRNA from 1 species